rnacentral:rRNA from 1 species
ACGGGUGAGUAACGCGUGGGAAACUACCCUAUGGUACGGAAUAACACAGAGAAAUUUGUGCUAAUACCGUAUGUGUCCUUCGGGAGAAAGAUUUAUCGCCAUAGGAUGUGCCCGCGUCGGAUUAGCUAGUUGGUGAGGUAAUGGCCCACCAAGGCGACGAUCCGUAGCUGGUCUGAGAGGAUGAUCAGCCACAUUGGGACUGAGACACGGCCCAAACUCCUACGGGAGGCAGCAGUGGGGAAUAUUGGACAAUGGGCGCAAGCCUGAUCCAGCCAUGCCGCGUGAGUGAUGAAGGCCUUAGGGUUGUAAAGCUCUUUCGCUCGCGAGGAUAAUGACGGUAGCGAGAGAAGAAGCCCCGGCUAACUUCGUGCCAGCAGCCGCGGUAAUACGAAGGGGGCUAGCGUUGUUCGGAAUCACUGGGCGUAAAGCGCUCGUAGGCGGAUAUUUAAGUCAGAGGUGAAAGCCUGGGGCUCAACUCCAGAACUGCCUUUGAUACUGGGUAUCUUGAGUCCGGUAGAGGUGAGUGGAACUGCUAGU